rnacentral:miRNA from 1 species
AGGGUGGAAGAAAGAGGGCG